rnacentral:rRNA from 1 species
CACGUAGGGUGCGAGCGUUGUCCGGAAUUAUUGGGCGUAAAGAGCUCGUAGGCGGUGUGUCGCGUCGGCCGUGAAAACCUGCAGCUUAACUGUGGGCGUGCGGUCGAUACGGGGCAUCACUGGAGUUCGGCAGGGGAGACUGGAAUUCCUGGUGUAGCGGUGAAAUGCGCAGAUAUCAGGAGGAACACCGGUGGCGAAGGCGGGGUCUCUGGGCCGAUACUGACGCUGAGGAGCGAAAGCGUGGGGGAGCGAACAGG